UUACCGGAAACAUCGAGGCGGGGCUCGC
rnacentral:sRNA from 1 species